UUAGAGAUGUAAAUGGAUACUAAUACCUAAAAUUUUAUCCAAAUCUAAAUCCAAAUAAAGUGAAUUUACUCAAUGCUAAAUGAAUAUAAUUUUGAAUAUAAAUAUUAAAAAUAAAAAUCCGACUGAUUUGAAUUUGGAUAUAAAUUUUAAUUGUAUCUGACCCGAGACCGAAAUUAUUUUAUAUUUUAUAUAAUAUAUAUAGAAAUGUUUGAUGUUAUAUUUGAAUUUAUAUUUUAAAAAUUUAGAUUUAAUGUAAUAUAUUUUGAAAUAUUUUAAAGAGAAAUAAUUGUUUCGGAUUCAGAUUUUCAGAUUUGGGUUCAAAUUCAGAUUUCUAAUUUUUGGUCGGGUUUAUAUUUGGAUAUAGAUUCUUAAAAUUCGUCGGAUUCGGGUUUUGAGUUUGGUUAUCGGGUUCGGGUUCGGAUUCGGAAAAAUCUAUUUCGAAUCCAACCCGCUGACAUCCUUAUCCGAGGUUUUCAAAUUUAAAGUCUAGUUGCUUUAUAUUUUCAAUUAAAUUUUUUUUAAAAAAAUAAAUGAAUGAAUAGUAUGCUAUUUUUUUCUAAAAAAAAUUAUUGCACUUUUUAGUCCAUUACUGUUAAAAGAAACUAUAUCCAUGGUUAGUAAAUUCGCGAAUAAUUCACAAAUUAUUUGCAAAUUUUUUAAGAAACGAAUUAAACUGCAGUUUCCGUAUUUUUUCGAAAAAUUCGAAAAAGAACACGUAUUUUUCGUUAAAAAUAAUUAUUCGCGAAUUAUUUGCGAUUCGCAAAUGAUUCGCUUAAAAAAACGGCGCUCGCGAUCGCGUACUCACGUCGUCACAGCUCUCAUC
rnacentral:lncRNA from 1 species